rnacentral:rRNA from 1 species
UACGUAGGGUGCGAGCGUUGUCCGGAAUUAUUGGGCGUAAAGAGCUCGUAGGCGGUCUGUCGCGUCUGCUGUGAAAACCCGAGGCUCAACCUCGGGCCUGCAGUGGGUACGGACAGACUAGAGUGCGGUAGGGGAGAAUGGAACUCCUGGUGUAGCGGUGGAAUGCGCAGAUAUCAGGAAGAACACCGAUGGCGAAGGCAGUUCUCUGGGCCGUAACUGACGCUGAGGAGCGAAAGCGUGGGUAGCAAACAGG